rnacentral:rRNA from 1 species
CGGCCGCGGUAUUUUGACCGUGCGAAGGUAGCGUAAUCACUUGUCUUUUAAUUGAGGACCCGUAUGAAAGGCAUCACGAGAGUUUAACUGUCUCUAUUUUCUAAUCAAUGAAAUUGAUUUUCUCGUGCAGAAACGAGAAUAGCACCAUAAGACGAGAAGACCCUAUGGAGCUUUAAACACUUAAGUUAAUUAUUCACCCCCCAAAAAUACCUCCACGGACAUAACAAUUUUACAAAUAAAUUUAACUUAACUUGUUUUUGGUUGGGGCGACCAAGGGGAAAAAUGAAACCCCCUCACCGAUUGAGCACUAAACAUGCUUAAAAAUUAGAAUAACAAUUCUAAUUAAUAGAACAUCUACCGAACAAUGACCCAGGACAAUACAUCCUGAUCAAUGAACCAAGUUACCCUAGGGAUAACAGCGCAAUCCUUUCUUAGAGUCCCCAUCGCCGAAAGGGUUUACGACCUCGAUGUUGGGAUCAGGACAUCCUAAUGGUGCAGCCGCUAUUAAAGGGUUCGUUUGGUUCAACCGAUUAACAGUUCCUACGUGAUCUGAGUUUCAGGACCCGGG